rnacentral:rRNA from 1 species
UAGCCGUAAACGAUACUCGCUAGGUGUCGGCCACGGUGCGACCGUUGUCGGUGCCGUAGGGAAGCCGUGAAGCGAGCCACCUGGGAAGUACGGUCGCAAGGCCGAAACUUAAAGGAAUUGGCGGGGGAGCACCACAACGGGUGGAGCUUGCGGUUUAAUUGGAUUCAACGCCGGAAAUCUUACCGGGACCGACAGCAACAUGAAGGCCAGGCUGAAGACUUUGCCGGAUUAGCUGAGAGGAGGUGCAUGGCGUAGUCGUGU